rnacentral:rRNA from 1 species
GACAGAGGCCUCGAGCGUUAGGCGGAAUCACUGGGCUUAAAGCGUGUGUAGGCGGAUCGUUAAGUGUCUUGUGAAAUCCCUCGGCUUAACCGAGGAACUGCCUGUCAGACUGGAAGGCUUGAGACCGGGAGAGGUGAGUGGAAUUCCCAGUGUAGCGGUGAAAUGCGUAGAUAUUGGGAGGAACACCAGUGGCGAAGGCGGCUCACUGGACCGGAACUGACGCUGAGGCGCGAAAGCGUGGGGAGCAAACAGG